rnacentral:rRNA from 1 species
GAUGAACGCUGGCGGCGUGCUUAACACAUGCAAGUCGAACGGACAGACCAUGCUUUUGUGGGGUGCUCGAUUGGCGAACGGGUGAGUAACACGUGUGUAUCCUGUCCUUGUCUUUGGGAUAUAUUCAGGAAACUGGGGCUAAUACCGGAUAGGAGCUCCUGCUGCAUGGUGGGGGUUGGUAAGUUUCGGCGGUUGGGGAUGGACUCGAGGCUUAUCAGCUUGUUGGUGUGGUAGUGGCUUACAAAGGCUUUGACGGGUAGCCGGCCUGAGAGGGUGAACGGCCACAUUGGUACUGAGAUACGGCCCAGACUCCUACGGGAGGCAGCAGUGGGGAAUAUUGCACAAUGGGCGGAAGCCUGAUGCAGCAGCGCCGCGUGCGGGAUGACGGCCUUCGGGGUAUAAACCGCUUUCGCCUGUGACGAAGCGUUAGUGACGGUAAUGGGUAAAGAAGCACCGGCUAACUACGUG